GGGGCGUAGCGCAGCCUGGUAGCGCACUUGCAUGGGGUGCAAGGGGUCGAGUGUUCGAAUCACUCCGUCCCGACCAA
rnacentral:tRNA from 3 species